UCUCCGCUCGUCUAAUCGGCAGGACACCUGAUUUUGGCUCAGGAAAUCGAGGUUCGAUCCCUCGGCGGAGAA
rnacentral:tRNA from 1 species